rnacentral:lncRNA from 1 species
UGGCAGGGAAGGGGUAGAGUGGGGCUGAUCUCAUUGUCCUCUCACAGAUGGUGAAGUAGAAAGCUGACUGUGGGGUGUGAACCAUCAUUUAUUCCCAUCAGUAUCAAGUACCUUGCCUCAUUCUUCAGCAACUGAGAUGCCCAACACACUGAAAGGGCAGAGGGAAAAUCCCUCUAGCCAAACAAAUCCUUUGAAGCGUGAGCAUGCCCAUGCCAUCCACUUCUUUUUUCAGACUUCAGGUUGGAGAGCUGAGAAACCUGGUGCCUGAGCAGGCCUCAUUCCCUACAGAGAGGGCCUCUGACCCCCUCAGGCCUCACCCUGUCUGAAUCUACAGACCACAGUGCUUACCUUGUGCCCUGCACUUGCUGCACGAGGUCUUGACUAUAGUAGAGUCAGCUCAUUCAUCAGUGAAGCCCUUAAGAUUGGCACUAUUAGAAAUCCUGAAGCCAUGUGAUUCUACUGUGCCACAUAUUCCGGGUACUUUAGUCAACAUCCUUAAACAUAAAACCCUACAGUCAUCUAACCUCUCUUGGAUGACCAUGCCCACAGUUUCUAUACUUCUCCCUUAUUCCAGUCUUCUGCUGUUGCUUGCCUUCUAUAGUUCCAAUGAAAAUAAACUUCCUUAUUUCCUUAGGCAGUUUUAUAUCCAAAAAUCUUCUGUGUGUCC